UACCGUAAUGAGCAAAGCAUAGAUAGCUCAUUGUGUAGCUUUGCGUUUAACAACAAACAAAAUGCUAAACUAGAGAGUAAAACACGCUCCCUCGUGGCUGUUGUUAUGGCAACACAAAGUAUCAUGAAAGUUAUGGCUAAACCUUGUCCAUUCAAGCAAAAUUGUUUCUUGAGUUAAAAGUUGGUCUAAUCUAAAUUCAAAAAUUAUAUAUAUAUAUAUAUAGUUUUUAAAUAGGAACUUAUGAUGAAAGUAUAGAUUUAUGUUUCGGUAAUCAGUAAGUACAUUUAAUAUUAGGAAAUAUAUAUAUAAAUUAUAUCGGAUGCUGAAAGACAACGGGACAUGUAUCGCUUUACGUUUGUAUAAUUGGCGUUAAAAAACAGACAUGUAUUGUUAUCGAAACAAAAAUCCUUUGAAAAAUUCAAAACGUAUAGAUACUUCAUCAUGGAAAUUCAAAGAAAUAGAAGGGCCAGAAAACUCUUCAGAUCCUCACUUGUGUAACAAUGAAUUAUCAGAAGUUAGACUUAACAAAUAUAAUAAAAGAAUGCCAAAUCAUCAACAGCAAGACAAAAGAUUGGAAGAAUUCGAUGAACUAAUGAGGAAAUACCGAAAACAAAUACUACAGGAAAGUUUACAAGCACAAUUGGACCCAUCUAUACUUCAAUUUGUGAAAGAUAUUUUCCAAUUGGAACUUCCAAGAACAGAUGAUCAUGUGAAUGCUAAAGAUGAAACUAAAAACUCUGUCAGUGGUGAUGAAUGGAAAUGG